UUUCUUCCUUUUUGUGAACAUGAUGAUUCUUCAGUCUUCCUCCUCCUUCUUAGUAGUAUUUCGUUUCCAGAUACAGUGCUAAACCUAGAGACCUGUGGAAGUGAGUACUCCAUCACACUUUCACACGUGAAAAAUGACGAUGGAGGAAAUUUUUACACUUUGCCCUAAUGUCAUGUCAUGGGCGUCAAUGGCUUGUAAGGCCUGUCCUAUCAAUGAUUCAAUGGGGGCUUUCUUACAAUUAUACUUAAAUAUGACUAUUGUUGGACAGAUCCAUUCCAUUUCCAAAGUUGCAGAAUGAAUCAAAUUCUGUUGUAUGGUAUGGGAUGAGAGUGGAAUUCUAAGGGGACAAUUUCAAAAAACCUCCUCUAACGUUUCUAACAAUUUUACUAUCCUAAUCUUUUUCUUUUUCUUCACUUUCCUAUGUAACUUUCCUGCUAACGAAACAAAGCCUCAUAAUUGAAAUAAUUUAAGAAACUUCCCUUGAAAUUUCCAACAAUUUUAUCGCUUUUUCCCGAGGUUUUAAAAAUACUACUUAUCUCCCCUGUUAAUUAUAGAGAUCCAACAAUUACAUCACUAUUUUAAACUAAAACCAAAUAUUUCAAAAGCACAUCAAUCAAAACAGAGCCAACCAACCAACCACUUCUAGAGUAGUUGAUCAACAAGAAAGUUUUAAUCCCUUGACCUACAUUAUAAAUUCAGGAUUUUCUGAAUAAUUUCGUUAGUGGGUACAUAGGAAUUCAUUUAGAUUGGUGGUGAUUUAGUUUUCCAAGUUCUCCAUUUGACUCUUUUAAAAUUCCCUCCCUCUAAUAUAGAGCAGAAAUAGAUGUAUAAUAAAAUCUAUCGGAUCGGACAAAAAAGAGAAAAAAAAAAAAAGAAAUAGAGCCAACUUUCUUACUCUUUAUCUCGCAAAUCCGAGGCAAAGAAUAAAUAGCAACUACUACAGCACGGUCUAAGUUAGACCCUCACUCUCGCAAAGCACUGCAGGAGCAGAACAAAUUUGUUAGGGAAAAGGGAGAUGCUACACCAUACGCACAUUCGCAUGCUUGUAAGCAAAGAAGAAAGCAGAAAUUGAGGAAAGGAAAAAGAUUGAUGAAGAUUGACGAAGGUGCCAGUAGCAUAUAAUGACAGUUGAUGACAAGCUACCCUGUAACCGGGCGGCGCCAGCUGCUUGGUUUAGAUGAAGAAGAAGAAGAGUUGCCAAAAUUCCCGAGUCCCACACGCCACCUCCUCAAUUAUUCAUUCAACGAAAGUCCAUUAUCUUGGUAUCGGUCUCUUAAUUAAGGAUGAUUUCUACGUACUGCUACUAACUACCAACAAAGCCUUCUCCCUUUUCUCCCUCUUCACAAUAAAUUGAUAGUCGGUUCAACAAAGCCCAAAAAAAAAAAAAAGGGUAUUGACAGAGUAGUGUCUUUUAUCGUUUCUGUCAGACUUGGAAAAUUAUGGGAAAAGGGUAUUACUCUACUAUUACUUUGCUCUUGUACUCGGGAUGCUAACUCAGUUAAUAGACUUUAAUGAUUUGCAUGGUGCUGGGGAAGAAUGAAAAUUCACAUUUUGCUUCAACAGAAAUUUCAAAUUUUGGGGCAAACUACUGCUCUCCACCAAGGACUAACCUUCUUUAAAUGAGUUGAUCACCAUAUGUCUUAUGGAGUGGAGGCCAAUGAUUUAAAUCUUGUUCUUCGUCAAAAGUUAUCAUUUAACGUGGCCUUUUCAAGAUUUAUAUGGAUGUUUAAUGUAAUUGUACGGUCCGGUAGUGAUUUGAAUAGGAUUAAUAGUAGGGUUAGAUUGUGAUACUAGAAAAAAAAAAAAAAAAGGAUUGGCACCAUUAGCGAGAGAUUUUGGGGGCGUUGAUUAACUACGUAAUGACAAAAAAAAACCGAAAGUAUAAUAGAUUUAUAUCUGAUCAGGUUCAGGGGCCAAUCAUGUCCAGUUACGACGGACGAGACGAGGGGUUGGUUCUUGAGGCCAAAUGACCAAAUUAGAUAAAGAGAGAUGCAGUGAGAGAGACGUGUGAGGUAAGAACGGAGGAUAAGAAUUAAGAAUAGGAUAAGCACAAUUUGUCAGCACAGCGCCACAUCAUUAUCCAAACAAAAAAGCAACUCUUCUUAGAUUUUAAUCAAUUCCA
rnacentral:lncRNA from 1 species